CUCGUAGGCGGCCAACUAAGUCAGACGUGAAAUCCCUCGGCUUAACCGGGGAACUGCGUCUGAUACUGGAUGGCUUGAGGUUUGGGGGGAGGGAUGCGGAAUUCCAGGUGUAGCGGUGAAAUGCGUAGAUAUCUGGAGGAACACCGGUGGCGAAGGCGGCAUCCUGGACCAACACUGACGCUGAGUGAGCGAAAGCCAGGGAGCAAACG
rnacentral:rRNA from 1 species